AUGCACUGGCUUGUCAGUGCUCACUGCUGCCCUCGGGUGUCAAAAAAGCAGUACUGCACCCUUGGCGUGCACAUGCACACGGCGUUCACCCUGCUCACUGCUGCCCUCGGGUGUCGACGCAUCAGUACUGCAGCCACCACCGCCCUCCCCGCAUACAAAGAACACUGCAGCCAGCCGGUGCGCACAUGCUCAGUGCCGGUCGCCGUGUUCGCCGCUGCUCUCCGGUGCUCUGGUAACGGGGCGCCGGUUCGUUGGCAGCGUGGCCGGGCAGGAGCGGGGGGGCAGGUGGGCCCCAGAGCAGGGCUGUGUGGCGGCGUCGGCGGGAGGACGGCUCGUGUGGCGGCAGGCUCGGGCGAGAGUGCUGGGUAG
rnacentral:lncRNA from 1 species